CAAACCAAAGCUGGCGACCGGCGCACGGGUGAGUAACACGUAUCCAACCUACCUCAUACUCGGGGAUAGCCUUUCGAAAGAAAGAUUAAUAUCCGAUAGCAUAUAUUUCCCGCAUGGGUUUUAUAUUAAAGAAAUUCGGUAUGAGAUGGGGAUGCGUUCCAUUAGUUUGUUGGGGGGUAACGGCCCACCAAGACUACGAUGGAUAGGGGUUCUGAGAGGAAGGUCCCCCACAUUGGAACUGAGACACGGUCCAA
rnacentral:rRNA from 1 species